rnacentral:rRNA from 1 species
AGUGAACGCUGGCGGUAGGCCUAACACAUGCGAGUCGAACGGCAGCACAGUAAGAGCUUGCUCUUACGGGUGGCGAGUGGCGGACGGGUGAGGAAUACAUCGGAAUCUACUUUUUCGUGGGGGAUAACGUAGGGAAACUUACGCUAAUACCGCAUACGACCUACGGGUGAAAGCAGGGGAUCUUCGGACCUUGCGCGAUUGAAUGAGCCGAUGUCGGAUUAGCUAGUUGGCGGGGUAAAGGCCCACCAAGGCGACGAUCCGUAGCUGUCUGAGAGGAUGAUCAGCCACACUGGAACUGAGACACGGUCCAGACUCCUACGGGAGGCAGCAGUGGGGAAUAUUGGACAAUGGGCGCAAGCCUGAUCCAGCCAUACCGCGUGGGUGAAGAAGGCCUUCGGGUUGUAAAGCCCUUUUGUUGGGAAAGAAAAGCAGCAGGUUAAUACCCCGCUGUUCUGACGGUACCCAAAGAAUAAGCACCGGCUAACUUCGUG